rnacentral:lncRNA from 1 species
CGAAGGCGACUGCAGUCGGCCCUUCCCGGAGUCCCGCUUCGGGGCCGUCCCUGGGCGCUGCACGUUGGUCCGCCCGAGUCUUGGGGUGGCUUGGGAGAAUGGGUUUGGGGCUCAGGCCUCGAGGUUGCCAAGAGCCUCGCGCUUCCUCAUUUUCCCGCCAGGUCAACGUAACCCGGCAUUUCUCCGAGGAGAGGCCUAAAAAUGAGUGGGGCUGCCGCCCGACUCCUGUGAGAGCCUCGGGGCUUCCAUUCCCGACACCUGGAGGAAAGACCGGCAUUUCUUCCUCGGGCGAAGAACCCAGUUGUCCAGGCUGGGCUCAAAGAUGGGACUCUCUUGCAUCAGCUUUCCAGAGUGCUGGGAUUACACGUGUGCGCCACGGAAUCUGGCUACCGAGCACUUAUUAAAAUUUUUGAUAUGGUUUCCUGGAUGAAACAGUGACAAAAUCAAGAGAGCUAACCUUGCUUACCCUGCCCAACCCACUUGUGUGAUAUGUUAGCUCCCUGGUCCCUGCUUGAUUCAGACACUACAGAAGAUGUGGGCAUUCUGGCUUCAUUGAUGUGAUGUGCUCUCUAUGAAUUAAAAUUGCAAUUAAUUAUUUUACAUGAAAAUAUGCCUUCUAUGAGAGUGAUACAGACUUCAGCAAAUUUUAACAACUUAUUUUGUAUAUUAACAUUUAUUAAAGACUUUCUU